UCCUUGAGAUGUCCUGUAAGCUGGAGC
rnacentral:piRNA from 1 species